rnacentral:snoRNA from 10 species
UACAAAUGAAGAGGCUAUUUGUUCUGAAGUAUCUAAAUCCAUUCAUAGUCUUCAAAGUUCUCUGAUUGUU